GAUCAUUACCGAGUGCGGGCUGCCUCCGGGCGCCCAACCUCCCACCCGUGACUACCUAACACUGUUGCUUCGGCGGGGAGCCCCCCAGGGGGCGAGCCGCCGGGGACCACUGAACUUCAUGCCUGAGAGUGAUGCAGUCUGAGCCUGAAUACAAAUCAGUCAAAACUUUCAACAAUGGAUCUCUUGGUUCCGGCAUCGAUGAAGAACGCAGCGAACUGCGAUAAGUAAUGUGAAUUGCAGAAUUCAGUGAAUCAUCGAGUCUUUGAACGCACAUUGCGCCCCCUGGCAUUCCGGGGGGCAUGCCUGUCCGAGCGUCAUUGCUGCCCUCAAGCCCGGCUUGUGUGUUGGGUCGUCGUCCCCCCCCCGGGGGACGGGCCCGAAAGGCAGCGGCGGCACCGUGUCCGGUCCUCGAGCGUAUGGGGCUUUGUCACCCGCUCGAUUAGGGCCGGCCGGGCGCCAGCCGGCGUCUCCAACCUUAUUUUUCUCAGGUUGACCUCGGAUCAGGUAGGGAUACCCGCUGAACCUAAGCAUAUCA
rnacentral:misc_RNA from 1 species